rnacentral:rRNA from 1 species
UGCUUGGUGGAUCAGUGGCGAACGGGUGAGUAACACGUGAGCAACCUGCCCUGGACUCUGGGAUAAGCGCUGGAAACGGCGUCUAAUACUGGAUAUGAGACGUGAUCGCAUGGUCGUGUUUGGAAAGAUUUUUCGGUCUGGGAUGGGCUCGCGGCCUAUCAGCUUGUUGGUGAGGUAAUGGCUCACCAAGGCGUCGACGGGUAGCCGGCCUGAGAGGGUGACCGGCCACACUGGGACUGAGACACGGCCCAGACUCCUACGGGAGGCAGCAGUGGGGAAUAUUGCACAAUGGGCGGAAGCCUGAUGCAGCAACGCCGCGUGAGGGAUGACGGCCUUCGGGUUGUAAACCUCUUUUAGCAGGGAAGAAGCGAAAGUGACGGUACCUGCAGAAAAAGCGCCGGCUAACUACGUGCCAGCAGCCGCGGUAAUACGUAGGGCGCAAGCGUUAUCCGGAAUUAUUGGGCGUAAAGAGCUCGUAGGCGGUUUGUCGCGUCUGCUGUGAAAUCCCGAGGCUCAACCUCGGGCCUGCAGUGGGUACGGGCAGACUAGAGUGCGGUAGGGGAGAUUGGAAUUCCUGGUGUAGCGGUGGAAUGCGCAGAUAUCAGGAGGAACACCGAUGGCGAAGGCAGAUCUCUGGGCCGUAACUGACGCUGAGGAGCGAAAGGGUGGGGAGCAAACAGGCUUAGAUACCCUGGUAGUCCACCCCGUAAACGUUGGGAACUAGUUGUGGGGACCAUUCCACGGUUUCCGUGACGCAGCUAACGCAUUAAGUUCCCCGCCUGGGGAGUACGGCCGCAAGGCUAAAACUCAAAGGAAUUGACGGGGACCCGCACAAGCGGCGGAGCAUGCGGAUUAAUUCGAUGCAACGCGAAGAACCUUACCAAGGCUUGACAUAUACGAGAACGGGCCAGAAAUGGUCAACUCUUUGGACACUCGUAAACAGGUGGUGCAUGGUUGUCGUCAGCUCGUGUCGUGAGAUGUUGGGUUAAGUCCCGCAACGAGCGCAACCCUCGUUCUAUGUUGCCAGCACGUAAUGGUGGGAACUCAUGGGAUACUGCCGGGGUCAACUCGGAGGAAGGUGGGGAUGACGUCAAAUCAUCAUGCCCCUUAUGUCUUGGGCUUCACGCAUGCUACAAUGGCCGGUACAAAGGGCUGCAAUACCGUAAGGUGGAGCGAAUCCCAAAAAGCCGGUCCCAGUUCGGAUUGAGGUCUGCAACUCGACCUCAUGAAGUCGGAGUCGCUAGUAAUCGCAGAUCAG